CCUCAUCUUCUGUAUCUCUCCAAGUUAAAGAGAGAAAGAGAGAGAGAAUGGGAAAAAAGGAGGGCAAAGGAAAACAGAAAGAUGACUGUUUUAGUUCUUAUUACUGUUAUUGCAGCUAGUUAGAAGAAAAUGUGUUUCGAUAAGAGCAAAUGUAUCCUAGCAAGGUGAUCACUGUCUGGGUUCCAGAGACCUUUGCAGGUCUCAUUAUGAUCCUGAAGCACAUCCUGUGAUGCUUAAUUUCCUCUUCCUUGGGGUUCAUUUCAUGUGUUUGGAAAUAGCCUGAUUAGAGGAAGAAUUUCAACUUGCAGGAGGAGGAAGGGGAAAUUCAAGCUGGGCAAUAUUUCCUUUCUCUGAAUGUUGCGUGAUGUCCUUACCAAUCACCCAUUACAUGUGUUUUGCUAAUUUUGUGCAAAACUGAAAAGGAGGUAAGAGAUGAACAAACUGGGUUGGAGGUCAGUUGGAAACUGAAGCCAGCAGCUCAGACCCAGAUGGAUUUAAAAGGACAAGGAAGGAGCCUAUUAAACCUCUUUGUUAAGAGACCCAGCUGCUUGUUUUCU
rnacentral:lncRNA from 1 species